GUGGGGAAUAUUGGACAAUGGGCGAAAGCCUGAUCCAGCCAUGCCGCGUGUGUGAAGAAGGUCUUCGGAUUGUAACGCACUUUAAGUUGGGAGGAAGGGCAGUAAGCUAAUACCUUGCUGUUUUGACGUUACCGACAGAAUAAGCACCGGCUAACUUCGUGCCAGCAGCCGCGGUAAUACGAAGGGUGCAAGCGUUAAUCGGAAUUACUGGGCGUAAAGCGCGCGUAGGUGGUUUUGUAAGUUGGAGGUGAAAUCCCCGGGCUCAACCUGGGAACUGCCUCCAAAACUACAUGACUAGAGUACGGUAGAGGGUAGUGGAAUUUCCUGUGUAGCGGUGAAAUGCGUAGAUAUAGGAAAGAACACCAGUGGCGAAGGCGACUACCUGGACUGAUACUGACACUGAGGUGCGAAAGCGUGGGGAGCAAACAGGAUUAGAUACCCCUGUAGUCC
rnacentral:rRNA from 1 species